CCCCCAAUCAUUUACCCUAAAUCAAAACAAAAAGUGGCAAAGGCGAAAAUUUGUGCAAACAGAAUUCCAAAGCUGCAUCAAGGCUCCAAUCACACUGCUAAACAACAUUCAAAAGCCCUCAAUCCUAACACUUUGAACAUGUCAGACAAUCAACCAGCACGCAGGACUGCGUCUUCUAGAGAGGGAAUGGGUGGCGCUAAGGGAAGAAAGGGUUCUUCAAAGAAGGAGGUGAAGGAGGUGAAGGAGGUGAAGGAGAAGAAGAAGGUUUUGACUGGUUCUGCUUCUCGU